rnacentral:rRNA from 1 species
UUUUUUUUUUUUGAGACAAACGCUGCUACUACUGUAGAUUGCAGUUGUAGCUAGGGAGGGACCUUGUUUGCCCACUUUGCUGUGGCCUCUAAAUGAGCCCUGCAGGAGGGGGGCUAGCCGGUGUCUCCUCAUCAUAAGCCAAGAGACGCUGCCAUUCUAGUCUAGCUUGAGGCGACGGGGAAAUGGCUGCGGCGACGGCGAUGGCCAUGCUGGCGGCGCUGGCGAUCCUCGUCCUCAUGCCGUCGGCGCGAGGGCUCGGCCGCGCCGAGUUCCCGCCGGGGUUCCUCUUCGGCGUCGCGACGUCUGCUUACCAGAUCGAGGGCGCGUACCUGGAGGACGGCAAGGGCCUCAGCAACUGGGAUUUCUUCACCCACACAAACUGUAAGUCAUCUUCUCGGUUUUCUGGAGCUUCCAUGUCCUUGCGUGAUCCAUGGCAGUACCAUGUGUGUGGG